rnacentral:lncRNA from 1 species
UCAGUACUCUGCCUUAACAGAAAUGGAGCACUCGAAUGGGAUUUUAGUAGAGUUUCGAGAUAGAGUUUAGAGCUUAGAGAAGAACGUAUCUGGAGGUCUCUUUUAUAGAUGGGAGAGCGUAACUGAUUGACAGUGACAUCCAUUACUGCCUGGUAUUGGGCCGUUUGGGGCCACGCAGAGUUUGUUACGGAGAGUAGUGGCAUCAGUGGGCCAUUCAGGGCCACGUGGAGUUUGUUAUGGAGAGUGGAGUGGUGUCCGUUGUCGCGACUUGCCAGAGAAUGGUGGGGCCACGUAGAAUCUGUUACAGAGAGUGG